rnacentral:rRNA from 1 species
GGGUCAGUAGGUCGGUCGUGCCACCGGUACGUACUGGUCUCACUGAUUCCUCCUUCCUGAAGAACCGUAAUGCCAUUAAUUUGGUGUUGCGGGGAAACAGGACUGUUACUCUGAAAAAAUUAGAGUGUUUAAAGCAAGCUAACGCUUGAAUACAUUAGCAUGGAAUAAUGAAAUAGGACGAUCGAUCCUAUUUUGUUGGUUUCUAGGAUUGACGUA